AUUGAACGCUGGCGGCAUGCUUUACACAUGCAAGUCGAACGGCAGCGCGGGCUUCGGCCUGGCGGCGAGUGGCGAACGGGUGAGUAAUACAUCGGAACGUGCCCAGUAGUGGGGGAUAGCUCGGCGAAAGCCGGAUUAAUACCGCAUACGACCUGAGGGUGAAAGCGGGGGAUCUUCGGACCUCGCGCUAUUGGAGCGGCCGAUGGCAGAUUAGCUAGUUGGUGGGGUAAAGGCCUACCAAGGCGACGAUCUGUAGCUGGUCUGAGAGGACGACCAGCCAAACUGGGACUGAGGCACGGCCCCGACUCCUACGGGAGGCAGCAGUGGGGAAUUUUGGACAAUGGGCGAAAGCCUGAUCCAGCAAUGCCGCGUGUGUGAUGAAGGCCUUCGGGUUGUAAAGCACUUUUGGCGGGAACGAAAAGGACUGUGCCAAUACCACGGUUCGAUGACGGUACCCGCAGAAUAAGCACCGGCUAACUACGUG
rnacentral:rRNA from 1 species